GUGCUCUCUUAGCAGCACAUAUACUAAAAUUGUAAUGAUACAGAGAAGAUUAGCAUAGCCCCUGCGUGAGGAUGAUAUGCAAAUUCAUGACGCUUUGAAAGUUAAG
ensembl:snRNA U6 U6 spliceosomal RNA